UACGUAGGGUGCAAGCGUUGUCCGGAAUCAUUGGGCGUAAAGAGCGCGUAGGCGGCCAGAAAAGUCCGCUGUGAAAACUCGAGGCUCAACCCCGAACUUGCAGUGGGUACGGGCAGACUAGAGUGUGGUAGGGGAGACUGGAAUUCCUGGUGUAGCGGUGAAAUGCGCAGAUAUCAGGAGGAACACCGAUGGCGAAGGCAGGUCUCUGGGCCGCUACUGACGCUGAGAAGCGAAAGCAUGGGGAGCGAACAGG
rnacentral:rRNA from 1 species